AGCGAACGCUGGCGGCAGGCCUAACACAUGCCAGUCGAACGAACUCUUCGGAGUUAGUGGCGGACGGGUGAGUAACACGUGGGAACGUGCCUUUUGGUUCGGAAUAACUCAGGGAAACUUGUGCUAAUACCGAAUGUGCCCUUCGGGGGAAAGAUUUAUCGCCAUUAGAGCGGCCCGCGUCUGAUUAGCUAGUUGGUGAGGUAACGGCUCACCAAGGCGACGAUCAGUAGCUGGUCUGAGAGGAUGACCAGCCACACUGGGACUGAGACACGGCCCAGACUCCAACGGGGGGAAGCAGGGGGGAUCCUGGCGAAAGGGGCGAAAGCCGGAGGCGCCCAGGCGGGGUGAAUGUGGAGGGUCUAGGAUUGUAAAAUUCUUUCACCGGGGACGAUAAUGACGGUACCCGGAGAAGAAGCCCCGGCUAACUUCGUG
rnacentral:rRNA from 1 species